rnacentral:rRNA from 1 species
UACGUAGGGUGCGAGCGUUGCCCGGAAUUAUUGGGCGUAAAGAGCUUGUAGGCGGUUUGUCGCGUCUGCUGUGAAAUCUCAAGGCUCAACCUUGAGCUUGCAGUGGGUACGGGCAGACUAGAGUGUGGUAGGGGAGACUGGAAUUCCUGGUGUAGCGGUGAAAUGCGCAGAUAUCAGGAGGAACACCGAUGGCGAAGGCAGGUCUCUGGGCCACUACUGACGCUGAGAAGCGAAAGCAUGGGGAGCGAACAGG